GACGAACGCUGGCGGCGUGCUUAACACAUGCAAGUCGAACGAAGAGCGACGGAAGCUUGCUUCUCUCAAUCUUAGUGGCGAACGGGUGAGUAACGCGUAAUCAACCUGCCCUUCAGAGGGGGACAACAGUUGGAAACGACUGCUAAUACCGCAUACGAUCUAACCUCGGCAUCGAGGAUAGAUGAAAGGUGGCCUCUACAUGUAAGCUAUCACUGAAGGAGGGGAUUGCGUCUGAUUAGCUAGUUGGAGGGGUAACGGCCCACCAAGGCGAUGAUCAGUAGGCGGUCCUAGAGGAUGAACGGCCAACUUGGGACUGAGAACCGGCCCAGACUCCUACGGGAAGCAGCAGGUGGGAAUCUUCCGCAAUGGACGAAAGUCUGACGGAGCAACGCCGCGUGAGUGAUGACGGCCUUCGGGUUGUAAAGCUCUGUUAAUCGGGACGAAAGGCCUUCUUGCGAAUAGUGAGAAGGAUUGACGGUACCGGAAUAGAAAGCCACGGCUAACUACGU
rnacentral:rRNA from 1 species